rnacentral:lncRNA from 1 species
GGCAUGAAUUCUUAAAAGAAAUUAUAUCAUAGUCCAUUCGUAAACAAUCUACUUAAAAUGGAUCCACUAGCUAUACAAAUCGUAAUUGUGUUUCUAUGCCUAAAGCUCUAUUAAGGUCAUUUAUUAUUUAUUAUUAGGAUUUUUUUCUAGGAGUCUUUUUGGGCACACCGAGCAUUUUGUGCCAACUAGGUUAAGAAUUUUAGAUCAUCCAGGCAUUCAAGUCUGGAUGGGAUCUAAGAGGAU